rnacentral:rRNA from 1 species
UACGAAGGGGGCUAGCGUUGCUCGGAAUCACUGGGCGUAAAGGGUGCGUAGGCGGGUCUUUAGGUCAGGGGUGAAAUCCUGGAGCUCAACUCCAGAACUGCCUUUGAUACUGAGGAUCUUGAGUUCGGGAGAGGUGAGUGGAACUGCGAGUGUAGAGGUGAAAUUCGUAGAUAUUCGCAAGAACACCAGUGGCGAAGGCGGCUCACUGGCCCGAUACUGACGCUGAGGCACGAAAGCGUGGGUAGCAAACAGG